GGGCCCGCACAAGCGGUGGAGCAUGUGGUUUAAUUCGAUGAUACGCGAGGAACCUUACCAGGGCUUAAAUGUAAGUUGCAUAAGCUAGAGAUAGCUUUUUCUUCGGACUACUUACAAGGUGCUGCAUGGUUGUCGUCAGCUCGUGCCGUGAGGUGUCAGGUUAAGUCCUAUAACGAGCGCAACCCCUGUCGUUAGUUACCAGCAAGUAAUGUUGGGUACUCUAGCGAGACUGCCGGUGCAAACCGUGAGGAAGGUGUGGAUGACGUCAAGUCAUCAUGCCCCUUACGAUCCUGGCUACACACGUACUACAAUGCUACGGACAAAGGGCAGCAAGUUCGCGAGGACAAG
rnacentral:rRNA from 1 species